GACCUAACACAUGGGAGUAUAUUUCUAUGGAUAGAGUUUGCCAAACAACUGCAAUAUGAUCCGCAGAACUUUCUUUUUCAUGCCACUAUGCUAAGCCAUCAAUCACUUGAAUGAGUAGAGCAUCUCUCACAAGGGACAGAAACCGACCUAAAAAUCCCAACGCAACAUAGAGGAUCAAUAAUACGUGUUAUCCACUACUAUAUAUCCUCCCAAACAAAACCUGUGGAACUAAACCCUUUUCCCUUUUUUUGCCUUACCAGGUGUCAAACUAGACUUACCUUAAUAUCUCUCCAGAAUCUUGGGCUGCCCAAUUGAUCAUCACCUCUUUGGGUUCUCCACUUUUCUACCCAAUCAAGACUCAAGAGACCCCUUAUGCUUGAAUUGACCACAACAACAAUAAGAUCAUCAUUAUUCUGGUUUGGCCAGUGCAUGAAGAUAUUGUAUGAGAUAUUAUCAUGGUGAACGAUACACGUGAACAAAAUAUUUUUUCUUUAAAGUAAACAAAUAUCAGUUUCAUUGUGAUAAGAAAAUAAUGGAAUUGAUUUGACAUGAACGGUAGAGAAAAUGCAGAAAUGAAUAAUAACGUUGACAUGUACUACACCUAAAAAUAAUUGGUGGAUUGUGGGCAUAUGGAUUUUGGAUAUGCUUUCUAUUUUGUGUUUGUUUUCUCAAUGACACUCACUUGGCUUACGUUAUCA